UCUUUUGAACACACAAAAUGCCUCGCAUUACCAUCACAUACGUGCAACCAUCGUGCGACAAUGUACUCGCAUUAAAAAAUGGCAUUAAACAUAAUUUUUGCACGCAGAAAAUGAGACGCAUAUCGUGCUAGUCAUGUGCAGUUUAUUUUCAUGCAUUUAAGCAGAUUUUAUGCAUGCACAAAAUGAGACUCAUUUAGUGACACUUAUGUGCGACGCACUAUUGUUAUCUGGAUCAGAACCCGAUCCAGAACCUGUAGAUCCGACUAAUGUAACUGAACUCAAAUUACUUGGAGAGGAUGGUGCACUUACAACGGUAUUAUCUGCAAGAAUAAAACUUGAAGAUACACGCGCACAAUACAUAAUAUGAAAGUGAGCUUUAAUCAACAUAUUCGUAACGAUUAUAGCAAAGUAGACAAACUUACCAGUCAGUGUCUCAGCGCUAGAGGAAACUGCUAUAACCUUGGGGAUUUUUAAAUAUACCAAAUCAUCAGUAGCAGUACUUGUACACUU